rnacentral:misc_RNA from 1 species
GUAGGUGAACCUGCGGAAGGAUCAUUAACACGAGCAAUCUCGGUAAAUCAAGUGGGAGAAACAGUUCUGAUUCGAGACCUCUGCACCCGAUGGGUAUGAUAGAAGCAGUGGCAUGGCCUCCAAUGAAUGACAGCGUCACUGGACAAGUGAGGGAUAACGCUUAUUCGGUUGCUAGAGGUCGCUCACCGACCGGCAGACAUAGGACCUUGCGCACUAGCCCGGGGCGAAAGUUCGAGGCAUUAAAACCGAACAACUGUUAACAAUGGAUAUCUUGGUUCUC